CAAGUAUACUACGUAGAGCCAGAGGUAGCGAAGAUUACCCUAUCUAGACGAUGUAGCGACUCGACGACCGGGGCCGGGAUUACGAUACUCUAUUGCUAUUACAUGAAAUACUAUGAGUAAAAGUAUCGCAACGACCUUCUCUCCAGCCUCCUCCAGCCUAUUCCUUGAAUUGACAACGCGACUCUUAUUGGUGUACCAAACUCUGUCCCGGUCACGAUAACUACGGAUUAUUAAAAGAGGCUGAGAUGUAUAGGCUGGGACUUGUUAAAAAAGGGCUAGAAGGAGAAGAUCAUGCCUGAGCAAGAUAAUCCGAGAUGACGAAACUGCAACAAAGGCCCAUGCGUUUGUCCAUCCUUGGAGGAGGCCGUGUGGCUCGUCGAUUUUGGUCGAACGGACCCUGAUCGUCUGGACAUUCCAAUCUAUUUUUCCAUCUAGCUAGGUAGGUACAGGAUUGAUGCAAGCAUUGAUUCAGUGAGCGAGCGAGCCGAAGGUUUAUAGUCUGAAACCCACCGAAUGUCUGUUUUAGACAUGAAAUAAGUGGAUGUACCAGGCUUUUACUCCGUACUGAGGGGGAAUCGAGGAUAAAUACAUGACAAAGAGAAAGAUCUCGGACACAGGCCACUUUUCACUAGUUAGUUAACUAACAUUAACUAGUUACUUACUUAACAAUUUUUGAUGACCGUCUAGUCUCAGGCCAUGGCUUACAGGCCCUCCACGCCGUCGUCUGUGUGUAAUGUGUCAAGUGCAGAAGCGUCUUGGUUAGUGCAAAGUCUAUAGCAGCUAACAUGCACACAAAUGUAAGGACAGAUAUCCGGAGUCAACGCCGCAAAAAAAUAAACUAGCCUAGAAUUACGGAGUACGUACUCGUACUGCCGUACUGUAGUACUCCAGACAUUUGGCCGGUUGAACCUUCUUUCGCAUUCUUUCCCUUUCCUUGCUUGCACUGUUUAAUACAUAUUCUGAAUCGGCCUACGCCUUUGCAAGAAGAGAGUUCGGAAGGUCGCGGAGUCUCGACGAAGUCUCUAACGGCUGGCAUGAACCGACCGGACUCGGAGCAUAAUUCUAUCAUUGCAUUGAUUGCAAUGGAUAAAAUAUAUAAAAUAGACCAGGCCGAGACCCAACAGCCAACACCUAUCUCCUCGGUAGACCUACAAAGGGAAGAUGUACAUCGGCAAAAUCUACUAGGUACUGGUCUGUACAUGCUGUUGGUUUCAGUAGCAGAGUUCUUAGUCUCAGUAAUUCCGAGUAGCCUUGUACGUAGUAGACCUAAUACAGCCUAUACGAUGAUACCUUUAGUACGGGGAAAUAGUUCCACCUCCAAUAGCCACCACGUUCAUUCAAAAUGAGUCCGUGCGACGAAGAAAGACGGAAAAUAAACGGCCAGGGCUCGGCGGAUGCACGAGGAUUCACUUCUGCGCGAUUCGUUUUAUUUCUUUUCUUUUUUGUGUUGGUUAAUUUACCUCCAUUCUGAAACAGCCGCUGGGCAUCUCAUAUGUUAUUGUUGUUGGUGGACUUUCGUGAUGCACAGCAGAUUUUGCGAUCAUAAACCCUAACCCGCGUACACAGCCCUAACCUAAACCCUGCUACCCUAGGGUUGAAUUUGGACCAGCAUACCCUAACCCCAUCCAUCCUAUGUGCACUCACAAUCUUCCCUAGUCUACACAGAAAAAAAAUCUCUCCUUUCCACGAGACUGAAAAGACGAAGAUGGUAACCAAGUCGGAGCGAAUCGGAAGUCAGAGAACUUCUAGGCUCGUUUCAAGUUACAACUCAUUAAAAGGCACAUCGGUGACUUGAAGAACAAGCGUUGGGCGCCCUCUACGUAGCCGUUAUACACUUGUCAUGCUCGUUUCUUUUUCUGAUUGCAUUGAACAUUCUCCUACUCCGUUCUCCGCCCCCUGCAACAUGAAGAAGUGAAUGGCAAUCCUUCUCGAGACCCAUUAACAUCAAGACCCUCUGGAGAACCCCACUCUAGCAGGAUUCGACUAGUCGAAAGGGUUCACAUCGCGGAUGAUUCCCACAUUUUUAAAGGUUACGGAGUACGUAUGUUCAGAAAAACAAAAGAAAAGGGUGAAAAACAGCGGGGCGUGAACGGCAACUUGAGACGGCUCGACGGGAGAUGAUCAUGGAUCAGUGACAUCUCCAGAUUUUCUUUUUGUCUCACCGACGAAUGAACACUUGUCUACUUUUUUGAGAGUCUGAAGAAAAAAAGUGUUUGAGAAGUGUCAAUUGUGGAGGGGAAAGGAACAAAAAAAAAAAAAAAAAAAAAAAAAGAGGAAUGUUACAGUGCUAGUUGGUUAGCGAUGACGGAUACUAAGAUGGCUAAUUACGAAUUGACUAACUAAUCCUGAUGCUACGGUCUAAAUUACAAUGUUUUGAUUAAAUCAUGAACUUCAUUGCUCUUUCUAGAUAAUCGAGUAGCGUCUAGAAAUGACUUUCACAGCGGAACGGUCAAAAGAGAAAAAUUCUCACGAGACGUUCUGCCCGAAUCUGGUACUAUCAUACGGCGAGCCCGCCCUCGCUACAUCCAAAAUAUCCACAUUCAUUUCUACGUGAAGGAUGAAGCUACCUACCUGAUUAGGAAGGUGGCAUCUUCCCAACGAAUCCGUCAUGUCAGAAUGUUUGAUCCAGAUGGUCUUUAUAAAAUAUAGAACACAUCUUCUAAUUAUGACGAGCAUUAUCAUUGCAAUCCCAUAAACAGCAAGAUAGUCUUGGAACAGGAGGUAUCAGGAACGAAAAUCUUUCCGCCAGAUAGGUAGGAUCACAUGUUCGUACUGUACUGCCUUGGUUAGG
rnacentral:lncRNA from 1 species